rnacentral:rRNA from 2 species
UUUGACCUCAAAUCAGGUAGGGCUACCCGCUGAACUUAAGCAUAUCA